rnacentral:rRNA from 1 species
CCUACGGGUGGCAGCAGUGGGGAAUAUUGGACAAUAGGCGAAAGCUUGAUCCAGCAACGUUGUAUGAGUGAGUGAAGACGGUAUCGCCGUAAAGCUCUAUCGUCAAAGAAGAUUAUGACAGUAUUUGAUAUAAGAAGUCCCGGCAAAUUCUGUGCCAGCAGCCGCGGUAAUACAGGAGGGGCAGGCGUUAUUCAUCUUUAUUGGGCGUACAGGGUGCGUAGGUUGUUUUAAAAAUUAACCUGGAAAGGCUUAAAUUAAAUUAAGAAGUCAGUUUAAUAUUUUAAGAACUUGAGUUAUAUUAAAGUUGAAGGAAUUUUUAGUGUAAAGGUUAAAUUUUUAAAUACUAAAAGGAACACCGAACGGCGAAAGCAUUUGACUAGAAUAACUGACGCUGAGGCACGAAAGUAUGGGGAGCAAAAGGGAUUAGAUACCCUUGUAGUC